CUACCACAAGAGAAGGUUUUGUAUCUUAGGAACUUCAUCCUUGGUGUGGAUGAUGAUGACUGAGGAUUCAAGCGAGCACCACCAGAGAUACUGGACAACAAAUGUGUGAGACUAGUGAAUGUCUAGACACUUCUGUCUUAUACCAAAAUUGCUUGCCAGACUGAAACUGUAAAAUUAAAGCUGGAAGAUUAUCAACAAAGCGAUCAUCAGUUCAGAAAGGUGGCUGCCAGCACAGGAAACGUAUGACUUUUCAAGACAUCACUGCAAGGAGCAAUAGCACAGACUUUGUUUCCCCCAGAUCUCCUAUACAACUCCAGAUCAGCACACACAAAUACCAGGAAACAAGACCUGAUGAUCUUACGCUUCUCUUGUUGAAGUAGCAAUUACACAUCUCUUCUCAAGCAAUCUUUUUUGUCUUACAUCCUUGUGACUCCCUUGUUCUGGCACCUCUGCAGAUUGAUAGUGUGGCAUGGAAUUUCCCCUUCCCAGGAAAAGCUAUGAGGAUGUCAUGCAGGAUGGCUCUUCAGAGCAGACUGCUGGCUGCCUGCUCACAGCAGAGGAGGCUCAGCUGCCCCGCCAUGGUAUCUCAGUAAGGCCAGCAGUCUGUGCCUGCAGAGGGGACAUGGGGCAGACAUGACCCAUCUGUACUCAAAUGCUGUGGAGGUACCAUAUAGGUAAGAAAAGGCCGAAACCUUAUAUACAAUGCUCCUGCUCCACAUAGAUGUUGUUCCCUCAGCUAGCAGUGUUGCACAUGUGGUCAUUGCCCUGUACAUUGGCUGGGCUGGAAGGUUUUAUGUGAAGGGAAAAGUUCAAAUGGAAGCUAUAUGCAGCUGGUCAGAAGCAAGCUACCUGG
ensembl:lncRNA